rnacentral:lncRNA from 1 species
CCUGUGUGAGGGAAGGGAGGGGGAGAGGAUGGGAGGAGCUUCCUGUGUGCAAGCCUGCAGGUGCGCCAGUGCUCAGCAGAGGGCACUGAAUGCUGCGGCACUCGGGUUAACAGAUGGUAGUGAGCUGUCUGAACUACUUAAAAUUUUCAGGUAAAAGGGCAGCAAGCAUUCUUAAACUGCUGAGCGGCCCUCUAGGUGUUCUUUGCUGGGGCAGGGGAGUUAGCAGGGAGGAAGUGGAGAGAACUGGGAGAGUUGAGACCCUCCUUCUGAGCGUUAAGCUGCAUGUAGAUAAUAUCUGCAGGUGUGGCACAAUUGAAAAGGCAGUGGCUUUCAGGCUAGUCACUGCACGGACUAGUAAGGCAGCUCUCUUGCUCCCAGCACCGUGCAUCUGAUUCUCCGUUCUCAGGGACCACCUGACAUGGUUAAACAGCCCUGGCUUAACGUUCCAGACACUGCUGCCAAUACUUGCGGCUGUUAGUUCCUGAUUUCUGCUUAAGGCUUUGCAGUUCUGCUUAUAGUCCUGUGAUCAGAGACACUUCCUCCUGUGGCAGCUGAAUUCCACGUUUCCCGAAACAGGAUUUCCCUAUUUUGUAGAGAACUUCCAUGAUUGAAUCUUCCUGCUUCUGGAAAUAAAAUGGGUAGUCCCUUGCAUACAAAGCUUGGAGGGUGUCUCUCAUUCUUCUCUUCUUCUGCUUUUUCUCAUCUACCUGAGAAUAAUUUUAAAUGGAUCGAAGGAAUGAAUGUCAGCCACCAAACUGAGAAGUUGACUUGCCUUUAAUCACCUGUAACUUUGUUAGAAUAAUAAAUUCUGUAGAAAGCUAAUCUCUGUGUUGUUUGUCUUUUGUUGUUUUGUUUUUUAAGUGGAUCAAAUAGUUUCCAAAUAACAUUGGCUAAGGUUUGAAUACUAAAUGUCUCCCUGAGGCCUAUGUGUCUUGCUAGGCAGCCUGUGACACUGUUGGUUGGGAAAGAGCAGGAACUUAAAGAUCUGGGAC